GUUGUGGUAACUGCUCUUCCCAGAGGGAAACACUGAGCCCCAGGGGGGCUACUUCAGUAUCUUUGCUAUUGAAAGCCGCAUUGCAGUCCCCUGGCAACAAAUGGAGGCUUCUAUGCUGAAAGCAGCUCGGAUGUUGCAUUCGUCAGACAACUGUAGCUCUCACCUCUCAUCUAAGACGCUUCUUCUGCAUUAGACAGAGAUGCUUGGGGGAAGACACAGCUGGACAAAAUGUGGGGUGCCCAACCCCAGUUUAUCCAUCUGCAAGAGAACCCCAAAGGCCUAGAGACCAUCACUGAAGACCUUCAGAGAGAUUGUAAUAGCCAGAGGGUCAGAGCGCCUGCUACACAAAGUGUGGAAAAUUUCAAUCAUAAAAGCUACGAACGGAAGGGGCUGGAAAGGCUGCUGUGUUCUUCUACCCAGUUUUGCAAUUACUAACACAUGGCUCACUUGCGGUAGUCAUAUGUCCUUGGUCUCAUUGGUUUAUUCUGCCUUUUUCUUUCUUUCUUUCUUUCUUUCUUUCUUUCUUUCUUUCUUUCUUU